rnacentral:lncRNA from 1 species
UGAUGAACUUCUUCAGUGUUCAGGACAUGGCCUCUCGCUAGACUUCAGAGCUACAGCUGGGAAAGUACCGGGAAGGCUUGGACACGGAUGCAGCACCUGUCUCCUAUAUCCCAAACUACCAUUCAGUUCUCCAGGACUGCUUGCCAUCAAGGAAGCACAUGACAUAGAGACCAGGCUCAAUGAGGUCGAGAAGCUGCUGGAGACUGUUAUCAGCAUGCCAUGUAAGUAUUCUAGGUCAGAGGUUGUACUCACCUUCUUUGAAAGAUCGCCUCUGGAUCAGGUGUUAAAAAAUGAUAAUGUCCAUAAAAUUCAACCCAGCUUUCAAAGUCCUGUCAAAAUAUCAGAAAUCAUGAGGUCCAAUGGAUUUUGUUUGGCAAACACAGAAACAAUAGUUAUUGACCACAGCAUACCCAACGGGAAGGACCAGCUCCUGGACGCAGACUCCACUGAGCAUUUGUUUGAGAAUGGUGGCGAGUUCACCCCAGAGCUGGAGGAUGGCGAUGACCCGACAGCUUACGUCACCAACUUGUCCUAUUACCAUCUGGUUCCAUUUGAGACAGACAUUUUGGACUGAGCCUCUCCAUCAGGCCUUCUCUGCCUCAGUCCUUGACUGCAUGUCCUCAUGCUGCCCCACUGAGUGGUCCCAAGGGCCAAAGCUGCUGCUCAGCCUGGGCCUCCCAGGGUCCUGAGGUUCACCCGGCCUGGAUGUCCUGAAAGCGGAGGCUCAGGGCCUCUUGAUGUCCAUGGGCUAUCCCCGGGCUGACUCCAGCAACAGGAAGCCACAUGUCCUGCAGCCCUGAGGGGCCUCUUACUUGCACUCAGCCCCACCAGCCUGCCUCUUCUCCUGGGAGGCACUGUUCCUGUGGGCCAUGCUUCCUCUUGUUCUUACUGCCUUCUUGAGGGGAGCAUUCUCCUUGAUCACAUGCCCGGAGUUCCCAUGUUUUCCUCAUGUGUCAAAGGUGUGAAGCAUUUCAAGAGGGUAUUUGAUACGUCACCAAGGUCUGGAUCACAAGGGCAGGGGAUAUUGAGUGACUCAGGGCUUCCCUGAGACGUGUGGCUUUACAUCACCUCCCUGGAAAUGGGGUCUGGGGUCAGCUGGAAAGAGUGUUUACACAAUGUCAAGCCUAGAGGGAAGUGCUGGCUUCAGAGAGAGGAAAGCAUCCUCGGUGAUGCGCAUAUGAACCCAGUUCGAAGUUUUCCUCCCUCCUCUCUGCCAGCAUCUGAGCUCCUCUGCCAGGCUGUGAUACUGUUACCACCACCAAGGGUGCUAGAAGUUCCUUCCCCCGGUGCACUCAAUGGUAGAAUUGCCAUCAUGAAUCAGAAAGGAAGGGAUGGGAGGAAGAGACGCUUACAGCUUGGACCACAGGAAGGUCUGGGUCCUGCGAGCUCAUCUCCUCACUGUGUCUACUAACGACCAACACUUGCUAAUGUAAAUAAUAGUAAAUUAUUGAAAAUUCUAAUUCUUUUACACACUGUUUUUAAUCUAUUUUAAUUAAAUAAAACCUAUUGCUCUACUUUGAUCUAGUGGGG